UCAUAGCUUUUAUCAUAAACAAGACUUCAAGCAACCUGGUUAAAUAAUCAAGAGAUGGGCCAACAGGAUGAAAACAAUAGCAAAGAGAAAACCAGCCACAAGAAGCAACAGCGAAUAGGUCCAUCUUUUUGCUAGACCCACGGGAAACAUGCUGUCAUCAAACAAGCUGAAACCCAAGGGCUUAGCCUUCUUAAACAACCUUGACCACCUCAAUAUUUUUAAGGUAAACCUGCAAAAUAACCCACAAGUUAGAUAAACUAAUCACAAAGAAGUCAUCCAAAGCAUUAACUUUAUAAGGCUUCUUUGAAAAUACAGCUCGACAAACCUCAUCUCUUAGCAACUUCUUCAUUCCUUCUUGAUCUUUUGAUAUUCUCAAACUCCGCUCCUUUAUGGCUACAAACUCUCUUGAUGUUGCUUAUAAUCUGCGCUUUGCAAGAAACUGUAUUUGAGAAACACCUUCUAUUCCUUUCCAUCCAAAUUGCAUACACCAUGGCCGCAAGACUCAUCUUGCACAUCAGAUUUUGCAAGCUGUUUUUCCUCCAAGAAUGAGCAAUCCCUUUCUAUUUCUUUGCAAAGUCCUCAAGAAUUCAAUUCUUACGUCCAUGGUACUUUAACUCUCUUAUCCCAUUUCCCAGGUUUGGUUUUUGAAGUGGGAUUCAACGUUCAAGUUCUUUUGUAGAGUUCAACGAUUGCUCCUCUGAACCGUUCUUUGCAUGUUUUUAUCUGUUUUGUUAUCCGUAUGUGAUUUACUUGAGUCAUCUUAUUUUUUUUUAAAUGCUGCUAAGUGGUAAAAUCAAAUUCAGAUAUUAUAGAAUUUUCACUAAACAUUGGUGAUAUACCUUUGCUUGAUACGUUUUACUUUAAUGCUAUUGGUUGUGAUGAGAUUAUGUUGUAUUCAUUAUUAAGAGUCAUAUCUUAAUUGGGUUUCUCUAAUUUUGCAUUUUACAGAUUUCUUCUCUGUUCAAUUAUCACGUUAACAGGUUUCUUAACGUUGAGUUAUGGUUAUGGUAUUGUUGUUCAUGAUUAGACUGAAAAAUUGUGGUUGUUUUUUAGUUCAAGUGCUUUCGUUUAUUCAAUUAUGAGAAAUAUUCUGCUUUUCAUUUUUCAUCGAAGUUUUAUCCCAUAAUAAUGUGAUUGGAUAACUUAUUGCAUUUAGAGAUUAGCUGAUCAGGAUCAUUGCAGAUUUUCUUUUUCUUCCUUUUUUUUUCACCGAAGCUCCUUUAUUUUUGGACUAUGGCUGUACCCAUUGCUGGCACUAGCAUAUCGAGGAAUAACAGUGUUGCUCUGCCUCUGAUGCAUACAGAGCAGCAAUUCUGUCUUUAUAGUUCUGAAAUGAAGUCAACCAGAGAAGUAGUAGAUUAACCAUCUUUUCUUUAGGGUAUACAAAAAGCACUCAGUAAAUGCCAGAAUUGAGAUGAGAAUAGAGAGUCAUUAUAUGCACUCUUUCUUAACAGAUGGUUGUAAUGUACUUACAGAAAGUCAACUUUUUACCUCGUCGAUAUGCAAUUGUUUCUUGGCUUCAAGCCCUAGUAAUGUGGAUCUUUAUUUCUUUCUUUUUUGGUAAGUCUAGUAAUCUGGAUCGUUGCACUCCAGGAAUUAGGUUCAGCAGAUUCUUCUAUCACAGAAUAAUGGAAUUGCAUUUCAAUUUUCUUUUUCUGCUAUCAUGACCUUUAUACAGUCCAAGCAAAGCAUCCUUCCCACCCAAAGCAUUUGGCCUCUGAGGCCAGUCAUUUGCAAUCUUCACACUUUCAAGACUUCAAUAACUGCUGCAAUUUUGCAGAUAAACUCUAUCCAUUUGGAUAGAAUUGUGGAAAGCAUUGAUGACAUGUCUAAUUAGCGGCUACUUUCUCCUUCUUCAACUGAUAUGACUGAUAUUUUUGACAACCCAGAGGUCGUCCCCCGUGUUGGACUUUAGUACUAGGCAGAAAUUCCACCUGUUUUUAUGAGAGAUGACUAUUUUCAACAAAUAGAUGAGCCAAAUGAUUCAAAAAAGACCAUGAUUAAUCUGUCAGUUUUCACUGGGAUUGCCAUUCCACUAAUGUGGACAAAUACUGUAAUUGAAAAUAUUAAUGGGACUGUACCGUUCAAUAAUAGUAAAGAGAGCCAGAUGACUUCAAAUGAUGAAUAUUCCGAACCUAAAGAUGCAUCUCUGGGAGUGUGUUGCGUGUGAUGGGAGUGAAGCGGCAGGAUAUUCAGACCUUCAAUGCACAACUGGAAGUCAUUAGAUGGAUGGCGGUCUAGCUGUACCUCAGGAAUAAAAAAGUAGGUUGGAUCAGAUAGACAGAGGUCUCUGUCUAUCUUCCUGGCUCUUUGCGCGAAUCUUGGGGGCAAGUUGAAUUUGAGAGUUUUCUCCUAGUACAUUUGGAAAAAAUCUUAACCUUGUGAAGAGAUUUAUUGGGAGGAAAGGGAUUGGCGAUGUAUUGUCUUUCUAUUAUGGGUAAUUUUACAGAUCUGAUGGAUAUCGCCAAUUGUCAGAAUGCUGGAAAUUCAGGAGCAAGUGGUUUUUGCAUGGACAAAAAAUAUUCACUGGAUGGAGGCUACAGGAAUUGUUGUCAAGACUAGUUUUCAUGUCUCAAGAGGAAUGCAAAAAUAUGUAGCUUGAGGUUUUUUCUAUGCAAUGUGAAAAUUUCAUUAGAAAUGAAUUAUUGAGCUCUUCUCAAGAAACAUCAUGGUUCAUGGAGGACACAUUUACAGAAGCGCAAAAAGGAAGGCUUCUAGGUCUACAUUUCUAUAUUCAUUACCAAAGGGAAUAUAGUAAGUGCACUAAUCAAUAGCUAUGGAUGAAAUUCCAGAGAUUUCGUUCUAUUCGUGCCUGAGGCCUCUUUAGUUCUUGGAAAGUACAAGGUAAAGGAGAAAACUUGGCAACAGCUUUCUUUGUCCAGAUUCAUAAUUAAUUUUAAGUGAUAUUCUUUUCUCAGUAUUUUCUUAACAGCCAACCUACUUCAUAAGUUUGAAAUAUAUCUGAAUCAUGUCCUGAAAAUUCUUAGGAGUUUAUCCAACAGUCAUUAAUUCCCAAGCUAGCAAAUCUCAACUUAAUUUUUUCACUGUCAAAUAUGUGGUUCAGCUUUGUUGAAGAUCAGAUUAGAAGAUUCUAUUUAUCACCGAAUUUGUUCCUCUUGAAGAGACUAUGAAGUUAAAAAUUGACUUUCCAAGGUUAUGAAUUCAUUUUUGUUGGAUGGCAAAUAAUCUUGUAGUACUAAAAGCAAGAAGAAGAGGAUACACGUUAGAAGAGAAUUUCUUUGCUGUCAAUAUGUUCAUCGUUUUAAAGUUUACUUUAAGAAGGAUCCAUUGAUCUCUCUGUAAACAAGUUACUUGUGCUGAUGUUGUCUUUGUGUAUUUGCAGAAGUUUAUCGAUUUUCUAUGCAAGCUAGUUUAUAAUUGUGUCACUAAGUCUAUAUGGGUCCUGUGUAUUCAUAAAUUAUAAAUUGAUCAUUGAACGCUUCUAGGAAAUUUGGAGGGGAAAAGAUAAUUAUUUGAAGAAUUUGUUUUCAUUUUAAAGAGUGCAGCUGGCAUCAAGAUAAUUAUUGAAGUAGUAAGUGCUGUUAAAGGGAAGCAAGAUCUCCCAGGCAUUGCCAUGAAGCCAAUAAAGACCAAUCAUAUGCUUUCUCUACAUUCUGAACACCAGUUGGCGAAGCCUGUUCAUCUCAUCAAUUUGCAGACAUUAUAAGAUUUCUAACAGGAGAUUUCAGGUUAAGUAAAGCCCGAUCAAAUGAAUUAUUCUGGGAAGCUUUAGUAGAAAGAUGGCACUCUAAGCAGCUUAAGGAUCAUGGCUUUUGUGGUUCAAAGGACUCUGUUGGUUUUUCUUAUACCUGGUGUUUAAGAAAUUCUAAAAAAGGAAACUAGUGAAAGGUGACCACUGUUGUGGUUCCAUUAGUGAUUGUUGAAUAAAGGUGUUGACACAUGGAAGAAGAUAAGUUGGACCAACCAAUGAAACAAGACUCAGAUGAUUUGUCAAAUUAGCACAUCAUUCUUACCUACAGCCAAGGAAGUCAAAUUACCUUCAACAUCAAUACAGUUCACACUUGUAGAUACAAGUUUGUUUCAAGGAGCUGGACAACUUAAAGUGGGAGAGCUUAGAAGUUUACCUGCUGAAACUACCGCUCUUUCUGCCCCUUCUAAUCUUUCUUGUGAAUCUGAGGAAGAUACAUCUGAUGAUGAAGGAGAUGAAGAUGAAGAAAACAAUACUGCCAGCACUGCAGUUAACAUGACUGAUAUGGGAGUGUGUGUAGACUCAUCAGAUUGUGCAAAUAGCAUUCUGAAAUACUAUGCCUAAACCCCCAAGUACCACAAAUUUAGCGGUGGAAAUUCACUGCACAGGUCCAGUGGGUACUUAAGCCCGAAAAGAAAGAGAAAGGACGCUGCGGCGCCUCAGAAUAAGUUAAUCUUGAAAACUUCAAGACAAGUCCGUGGGAAGACUGAAGUUAGUUGGACUCCUAGCAAUGGCGCUGGAGCCAAUAUUGCUGACUCCAGAAUAGAACAGCAGAGUUGGUGAGUCUCACGCUCAAGUAUUAAUGAUUGUAUAAAAUGUACAAGCCAGUUGCUAAAUGGGGCUUUUGCAUUACGUUUUGGAGGGUUGUUGUUGGGAGUAAAUAGUUACAUAACACUGAAAGACAAUCAUAAGAAUCUUCUGUUUGCCCAAGUACAGGAGUAUAGCAAAUAUUACACCGAUAGGUUUGUAAUACAGAAUUCAGAUGACUUACGCCGAAAAGUUUCUAAAAUUUUGCAAUCACAUCAGUAAAAAGGUGAAUUUUCAAA